UCCUAGUUAACCUAGGCAGUCUCGCUAGAGUUCCCACCUUUACGUGCUGGCAACUAACGACAAGGGUUGCGCUCGUUGCGGGACUUAACCCAACACCUCACGGCACGAGCUGACGACAGCCAUGCAGCACCUGUAUAGAGGUCCUUGCGGAACACGCCAUUUCUGGCGCUGUCCUCUAUAUGUCAAAUCUGGGUAAGGUUCUUCGCGUUGCAUCGAAUUAAACCACAUGCUCCACUGCUUGUGCGGGCCCCCGUCAAUUCUUUUGAGUUUCACCCUUGCGGGCGUACUCCUCAGGUGGCAUACUUAACGCGUUAGCUCCGGCACAGCCAGGGUUGAGCCCAGCUAUACCAAGUAUGCAUCGUUUACGGCAAGGACUAC
rnacentral:misc_RNA from 1 species